ACGGGAGGCAGCAGUGAGGAAUAUUGGUCAAUGGGCGGAAGCCUGAACCAGCCAUCUCGCGUGCAGGACUACGGCCCUACGGGUCUUAAACUGCUUUUAUGGGGGGAUAAAGUCGGGCAUUCGUGUCCGUUUGCAGGUACCCCAUGAAUAAGGAUCGGCUAACUCCGUGCCAGCAGCCGCGGUAAUACGGAGGAUCCGAGCGUUAUCCGGAUUUAUUGGGUUUAAAGGGUGCGCAGGCGGUCGAUUAAGUCAGUGGUCAAAUCACGGUGCUCAACGCCGUUCCGCCAUUGAUACUGGUUGACUUGAUUCCGGUCGAGGCAGGCGGAAUUCGUAGUGUAGCGGUGAAAUGCAUAGAUAUUACGAAGAACUCCGAUUGCGUAGGCAGCUUACCAGGCCGGCAAUGACGCUCAUGCACGAAAGUGCGGGGAUCGAACAGGAUUAGAUACCCUGGUA
rnacentral:rRNA from 1 species